rnacentral:lncRNA from 1 species
NNNNNNNNNNNNNNNNNNNNNNNGCAAAGCCCCAGCGCGGCCCGGUUGCAAGCCCUAAAAGGCCUGAUCGCAACCCCGUUGCAACCCCCAGAUGGCCCAGUUGCAACCCCCAAAAGGCCCAGUUGCAACCCCAGCACGGCCCGGUUGCAACCCCAGCAAUGCAACUCAAGGCACGGGUGCGCCGCAACCCUGCACUUUGCAAUGCAAUGCGAUGCAUGCUCAAUGCAAAUUUGGGCUUACAGCGCAACCCAACGCAGGCGGGCGAUGCAAACCCGCGCUUGCAAUGCAAUGCAAUGCACGUGCAGUGCAAGCUUGUGCUUGCAAUGCAACCAGUGCAUGUAUGCGACGCAACCCUGCGCUUGCAGUGCAAGACAGUGCAUGUGCGCUGCAAACCUGCGCUUGCAACGCAACCCAAUGCACACAUGCAAUGCAAACAUGCAUUUUGAAAUGCAAGGCAAUGCGUGUGCAAUGCAAACCUGCACUUGCAACACAACGCAAUGCACAUAUGCGAUGCAAACCUGCGUUUGCAAUGCAAGGCAAUGCACGUGCAAUGCAAACUUGUGCUUGCAAUGCAACCCAGUGCACGUAUGCAAAGCAAACCUGCGUUUGCAAUGCAAGGCAAUGCGUGUGCAAUGCAAACUUGUGCUUGCAACGCAACCCAGUGCACGUAUGCAAUGCAAACCUGCGUUUGCAAUGCAAGGCAAUGCACGUGCAAUGCAAACUUGUGCUUGCCACGCAACCCAGUGCACGCAUGCAAUGCAAACAUGCAUUUUGAAAUGCAAGGCGAUGCGUGUGCAAUGCAAACCUGCACUUGCAGCGCACCCCGAUGCACGUACGCGAUGCCAACCUGCGCUUGCAAUGCAAUGCAGCGCGUGUGCAAUGCAAACGUGCCCUUGCCACGCGAGCCAGUGCGCGUAUGCGACGCCGACCUGCGCUUGCAACGCGAGGCAACGCACGUGGGGUGCGACUGGGCGACUGGGCGCGGUGCAACGCCGCCCUGGCACCCCCAACUCGAUGCAGCAAC